rnacentral:rRNA from 1 species
CAGCAGUGGGGAAUCUUCCGCAAUGGACGAAAGUCUGACGGAGCAACGCCGCGUGAGUGAAGACGGCCUUCGGGUUGUAAAGCUCUGUGAUUCGGGACGAAAGGCCAUAUGUGAAUAAUAUAUGGAAAUGACGGUACCGAAAAAGCAAGCCACGGCUAACUACGUGCCAGCAGCCGCGGUAAUACGUAGGUGGCAAGCGUUGUCCGGAAUUAUUGGGCGUAAAGCGCGCGCAGGCGGUCUCUUAAGUCCAUCUUAGAAGUGCGGGGCUUAACCCCGUGAGGGGAUGGAAACUGGGAGACUGGAGUAUCGGAGAGGAAAGUGGAAUUCCUAGUGUAGCGGUGAAAUGCGUAGAUAUUAGGAAGAACACCGGUGGCGAAGGCGACUUUCUGGACGAAAACUGACGCUGAGGCGCGAAAGCGUGGGGAGCAAACAGGAUUAGA